ACUGCUCAGUAACACGUGGCUAAUCUACCCUAAAGCCCGUUAUAUCGUCGGGAAACUGACGUUAACAACGGAUAAGUGAUUUUCUCUGGAAUGAUAAAUCGCUGAAAGUUCAGCGUUAGGAUGAGGCUGCGGCUGAUUAGGUAGUUGGCGGGGUAAAAGCCCACCAAGCCAGUGAUCAGUAAGGGCCUUUAGCGAGGAAGCCCUGAGAGGGAAUCUGAGACACUAUUCCCAGCCCUACGGGGUGCAGCAGUCGGGUGAAUUUUGCAAUGCGCGCAAGCGUGACAGAGCGAGCCAGAGUGUUUUUCUAUAAUUGAAAAACUUUUGCGGGAUGUAAAAAGUCCCGAGAAUAAGGACCGGGCAAGACUGGUGCCAGCCGCCGCGGUAAUCCCAGCGGUCCAAGUCGCAGCCACAAUUAUUGGGUCUAAAACAUCCGUAGCUUGUCUUGUAAGUCUCUUGUGAAAUCUGGCCUCUUAAGGGUCGGUCGUGCAAGAGAUACUAUUAGACUAGAGACCGGGAGGCGUAACGAGUACGUAAAGGGUAGCGGUAAAAUGCGUUGAUCCUUUUCGGACUAACAAUCGCGAAGGCACGUUACGAGAACGGAUCUGACAGUGAGGGAUGAAGGCUAGGGGCGCAAAGUGGAUUAGAUACCCAUGUAGUCCUAGCAGUAAACCCUGCACACUAAACAUUGGGGCCUCCUCGAGAGGUUUCAGUGCUGUAGCGAAGGCGAAGAGUGUGCUACCUGGGAAGUAUAGCCGCAAGGCCGAAACUUAAAGGAAUUGGCGGGGGGAA
rnacentral:rRNA from 1 species